GGUUCUAUAGUGUAGCGGUCAUCACCUUCGGUUCUGAUCCGAAUAACCCCGGUUCGAAUCCGGGUAGGACCU
rfam:Cyberlindnera fabianii strain 65 BON22_Sc04, whole genome shotgun sequence.